rnacentral:rRNA from 1 species
UCUUCGGAGUUAGUGGCGGACGGGUGAGUAACACGUGGGAACGUGCCUUUAGGUUCGGAAUAACUCAGGGAAACUUGUGCUAAUACCGAAUGUGCCCUUCGGGGGAAAGAUUUAUCGCCUUUAGAGCGGCCCGCGUCUGAUUAGCUAGUUGGUGAGGUAAAGGCUCACCAAGGCGACGAUCAGUAGCUGGUCUGAGAGGAUGAUCAGCCACAUUGGGACUGAGACACGGCCCAAACUCCUACGGGAGGCAGCAGUGGGGAAUCUUGCGCAAUGGGCGAAAGCCUGACGCAGCCAUGCCGCGUGAAUGAUGAAGGUCUUAGGAUUGUAAAAUUCUUUCAGUAGGGACGAUAAUGACGGUACCUACAGAAGAAGCCCCGGCUAACUUCGUGCCAGCAGCCGCGGUAAUACGAAGGGGGCUAGCGUUGCUCGGAAUUACUGGGCGUAAAGGGAGCGUAGGCGGACAUUUAAGUCAGGGGUGAAAUCCCGGGGCUCAACCUCGGAAUUGCCUUUGAUACUGGGUGUCUUGAGUGUGAGAGAGGUAUGUGGAACUCCGAGUGUAGAGGUGAAAUUCGUAGAUAUUCGGAAGAACACCAGUGGCGAAGGCGACAUACUGGCUCAUUACUGACGCUGAGGCUCGAAAGCGUGGGGAGCAAACAGGAUUAGAUACCCUGGUAGUCCACGCCGUA